AAAUGCCCCACCUGCUGUGCUAUCUGUAGCCCCAUUGAUCGUCAGGGUUGAUUCUACUGAUCUGGCUGGCUAGGCUAGGCGGGUGUCCUCUUCCUCCCUCGGCGCUCCAUGUGUGUCCCUCCCGAAGCUGCGCGCUCAGUAGAAGAGGACGGCCUUCCCUGAAUAUAGAUGGACCGGUCUUCAGUCAAGGGUAUACGAGUAUCUGUGCUCCCCUGCUAGAACCUCCAAUCUUCAAAAUGUUCAGAUUUGAAAAAAAAAAUAAUAAUGAUGGUUUCCUAUUUAGUCAUGAGAUAACU
rnacentral:snRNA from 1 species